rnacentral:rRNA from 1 species
AGGACGAACGCUGGCGGCGUGCUUAACACAUGCAAGUCGAACGAGAUCCAUUCAGUAGCAAUACUGAUGAAGAUCUAGUGGCGAACGGGUGCGUAACACGUGAGGAACUUGUCCCGGUCUCUGGGAUAACAGUUGGAAACGACUGCUAAUACCGGAUGACGUCGGAACUUCGCAUGGAGUACUGACGAAAGGGUUACUGGAUCGGGAGAGCCUCGCGGCCUAUCAGCUUGUUGGUGGGGUAAUGGCCUACCAAGGCGACGACGGCUAGCUGGUCUGAGAGGACGACCAGCCACACCGGGACUGAGACACGGCCCAGACUCCUACGGGAGGCAGCAGUGGGGAAUCUUGCGCAAUGGGCGAAAGCCUGACGCAGCAACGCCGCGUGGGGAUGAAUGCUUCGGGUUGUAAACCCGUUUCAGCAGGGACGAAUCUGACGGUACCUGCAGAAGAAGCCCCGGCAACUACGUGCCAGCAGCCGC